CCUACGGUAGGCAGCAGUGAGGAAUAUUGGUCAAUGGGCGGAAGCCUGAACCAGCCAAGUAGCGUGCGGGAUGAAGGCCCUACGGGUCGUAAACCGCUUUUGCACGGGGAUAACACCCUCCACUUGUGGAGGUCUGCAGGUACCGUGCGAAUAAGGGCCGGCUAAUUCCGUGCCAGCAGCCGCGGUAAUACGGAAGGCCCGAGCGUUAUCCGGAUUCAUUGGGCUUAAAGGGAGCGUAGGCGGGCGUUCAAGUCAGCUGUAAAAUCGCGCGGAUCAACCGCGCCCCGCAGUUGAAACUGGACGCCUUGAGUUCACAACAGGCAGGCGGAAUUCGUGGUGUAGCGGUGAAAUGCAUAGAUAUCACGAGGAACCCCGAUUGCGAAGGCAGCCUGCCGGGGUGCGACUGACGCUGAGGCUCGAAGGUGCGGGUAUCAAACAGGAUUAGAUACCCCUGUAGUC
rnacentral:rRNA from 1 species